GACGAACGCUGGCGGCGUGCCUAAUACAUGCAAGUCGAGCGGACAGAAGGGAGCUUGCUCCCGGAUGUUAGCGGCGGACGGGUGAGUAACACGUGGGUAACCUGCCUGUAAGACUGGGAUAACUCCGGGAAACCGGAGCUAAUACCGGAUAGUUCCUUGAACCGCAUGGUUCAAGGAUGAAAGACGGUUUCGGCUGUCACUUACAGAUGGACCCGCGGCGCAUUAGCUAGUUGGUGAAGUAACGGCUCACCAAGGCGACGAUGCGUAGCCGACCUGAGAGGGUGAUCGGCCACACUGGGACUGAGACACGGCCCAGACUCCUACGGGAGGCAGCAAUAGGGAAUCUUCCGCAAUGGACGAAAGUCUGACGGAGCAACGCCGCGUGAGUGAUGAAGGUUUUCGGAUCGUAAAGCUCUGUUGUUAGGGAAGAACAAGUGCAAGAGUAACUGCUUGCACCUUGACGGUACCUAACCAGAAAGCCACGGCUAACUACGUGCCAGCCGCCGCGGUAACAC
rnacentral:rRNA from 1 species